UACGGAGGGGGCGAGCGUUGUCCGAAGUUACUGGGCGUAAAGCGCGCGUAGGCGGGUUGGUAAGUCCGCUGUGAAAGCCCGGAGCUUAACUCCGGAGGGUCGGUGGAUACUGCCAGUCUUGAAGGUGCUAGGGGGAGAUGGAAUUACCGGUGUAGCGGUGAAAUGCGUAGAUAUCGGUAGGAACACCAGUGGCGGAAGGCGGAUCGUCCCGUGGGGCCUGAUUCUUGACGCUGAGGCGCGAAAGCUGGGGGAGCAAACGGG
rnacentral:rRNA from 1 species